CUUGUACUCCCUCCGUCCGAAAAUAUUUGUCAUUGAAAUGGAUGUAUCUAGAUGUAUUUUAGUUCUAGACACAUCCAUUUUGAUGACAAGUAAUUCCGGACAGAGGGAGUACUUG
rnacentral:pre_miRNA from 1 species